rnacentral:tRNA from 1 species
CGGGGUGUGGCGCAGCCCGGGAGCGCACUUGCAUGGGGUGCAAGGGGCCGUCGGUUCAAAUCCGACCACCCCGACCA